AUGGCAUCCCGGCUGGAGCUGCUCAUGUCGCAGGGAAUGCGACUGUGGAGCUAUCUUACCUCCUCAUCGGCCGCUGCAGCAGGAACCGGAGUUGCUGUUGCAUCCUCCGUUACUCUUGCCAGUUCCAGAAGCCAGCCUCCGCAUCGGAACCGUGACCCGCCUAGAAACAGGGCAAACGCGGCAGGGAGGGCUCGCGAGGCAGAGAAACAGUGA
rnacentral:rRNA from 1 species